GAUGGACGCCUGGAGUUGCAGUCCCAUUUUAGCAUCUGAACAUUUCUUAACAAGUUUUGUGUGAAUGAUUGUGAGAAAAGUAACCAAAGAGUCUUCACCAACUCGGAUGCAGUCCAUGCUUUAGGUGUCUCACUUCCAAGUUUCAACAGCUGCUUUCUUUCAAAAAGUUUUACCAAAUCAUGUACAGUACAUGAAGGCAUUGGGCUCCUUGUCUCUUCUGGCUUGUAUCUAUGGUGACAAAGUCUGUACGUAUGGUUUUUUCCUACUAAGGGAAUGCAACAGUGAAAAACCGAAAGAAGCGCGACAGAAAUGUGUGUUUCACUUUCAAUGAGUGGACCUUAGAUUGAUGUUGAUUGUAGAACAUUUGUAGAUUCCAGCUUGGUUUACCUUGAUCAGGUUUUGUCAGUAAGUCAGGUUGACCUGACAUUGUGUGGAUGGAUGAUUUGAGAAAUGAUGCAUAUUUUACAUGGAUUGCAAAAGGAAUGAAUGUCUGACUGUUUGACUGUGGACCGUAGAAGCUGUAAUGACGUUUAUUUGUGGAAAAGCACCAAUCACGGCGAACAAAAAUCCCACAUGCAGAUCAUUGAACCAAGAUAAUCAUUUUUUUCAACGCUCAACAGUGUCGCUUUUGAAUUUAGUGUCUAAAAUAUUUUGAUCCGUUUAGUUAAAGUGAACUUAAUUUAAUGGUAAUUUGUAUGAUCUUUAUCUUUAAAGAUCAAA